rnacentral:rRNA from 1 species
AAAACCGGUGACUGGGGCUAAGUCGUAACAAGGUAGCCGUACCGGAAGGUGCGGCUGGAACACCUCCUUUCUGGAGC